rnacentral:tRNA from 1 species
GCCUGGGGGGCUCAGUGGUUGAGCGUCUGACUUUGACUCAGGUCGUGAUCCUGGAGUUCUGGGAUCGAGUCCCACAUCAGGCU